rnacentral:tRNA from 1 species
ACCUUGGUGGCUCAGUCGGUUGAGCGUCUGACUUUGGCUCAGAUCAUGAUCUCAGGGUC